rnacentral:lncRNA from 1 species
UUUAAGACCCUUGUAGCAUAAUCUAGCUAAUGUGGGGACUAUUUUGUGAAUUUUUUGAAAAUAUAGGGUUUUUCCAUGAGAGUAUUCAUGUGUUUUACUGAAUUUUUAUGGAAGAAAAUGAGUCUUGGUUGUGUAAUAAACAACUUUUGUGAAAGAAGUUUGUAUGAAAACACCUAAAAAGGGCUCUUUUGUAAAGUUGUAAAAUAAGUUGUAAAUGUGUGAAAUAAUUAUAAAAAGUAUUCAGCUAGG